AGAGUUUGAUUCUGGCUCAGAUUGAACGCUGGCGGCGUGCUUAACACAUGCAAGUCGAACGUGAAAGUCCUUCGGGACGAGUAAAGUGGCGCACGGGUGAGUAACGCGUGGAUAAUCUACCCUUAAGAUGGGGAUAACGGCUGGAAACGGUCGCUAAUACCGAAUACGCUCCCGAUUUUAUCAUUGGGGGGAAAGAUGGCCUCUGCUUGCAAGCUAUCGCUUAAGGAUGAGUCCGCGUCCCAUUAGCUAGUUGGCGGGGUAACGGCCCACCAAGGCAACGAUGGGUAGCCGGUCUGAGAGGAUGACCGGCCACACUGGAACUGGAACACGGUCCAGACUCCUACGGGAGGCAGCAGUGGGGAAUAUUGCGCAAUGGGCGAAAGCCUGACGCAGCGACGCCGCGUGAGGGAUGAAGGUUCUCGGAUCGUAAACCUCUGUCAGGGGGGAAGAAACCCCCUCGUGUGAAUAAUGCGAGGGCUUGACGGUACCCCCAAAGGAAGCACCGGCUAACUCCGUGCCAGCAGCCGCGGUAAUACGGAGGGUGCAAGCGUUAAUCGGAAUCACUGGGCGUAAAGCGCACGUAGGCGGCUUGGUAAGUCAGGGGUGAAAUCCCACAGCCCAACUGUGGAACUGCCUUUGAUACUGCCAGGCUUGAGUACCGGAGAGGGUGGCGGAAUUCCAGGUGUAGGAGUGAAAUCCGUAGAUAUCUGGAGGAACACCGGUGGCGAAGGCGGCCACCUGGACGGUAACUGACGCUGAGGUGCGAAAGCGUGGGUAGCAAACAGGAUUAGAUACCCUGGUAGUCCACGCUGUAAACGAUGAUUACUAGGU
rnacentral:rRNA from 1 species